AGCUCCAAUAGCGUAUAUUAAAGUUGUUGCGGUUAAAAGCUCGUAGUUGGAUUUCUGCCUGUGAGCGACGGUCUGCCCCUAGUGGUUUGAACACGUCACGCCACAGGCAUCUUCCUGGGGAAUGUGUCUGCACUUUACUGUGUGGUGCCCGAUCCAGGACUUUUACUUUGAGGAAAUUACAGUGUUUCAAGCAGGCUACCGCUCUCUGAAUACGUUAGCAUGGAAUAAUAGCAUCGGACCUCGUUCCAAAGCUGUUGGUUUCUUGGAUCGAGGUAAAGGUGAAUAGGGAUUGUUGGGGGCAUUCGUAUUUAACUGUCAGAGGUGAAAUUCUUGGAUUUGUUGAAGACGGACUACUGCGAAAGCAUCUGCCAAAGAUGUUCUCA
rnacentral:rRNA from 1 species